rnacentral:rRNA from 1 species
UGGGGAAUUUUGGACAAUGGGCGAAAGCCUGAUCCAGCAAUGCCGCGUGUGUGAAGAAGGCCUUCGGGUUGUAAAGCACUUUUGUCCGGAAAGAAAUCCUUGGCUCUAAUACAGUCGGGGGAUGACGGUACCGGAAGAAUAAGCACCGGCUAACUACGUGCCAGCAGCCGCGGUAAUACGUAGGGUGCAAGCGUUAAUCGGAAUUACUGGGCGUAAAGCGUGCGCAGGCGGUUUGCUAAGACCGAUGUGAAAUCCCCGGGCUCAACCUGGGAACUGCAUUGGUGACUGGCAGGCUAGAGUAUGGCAGAGGGGGGUAGAAUUCCACGUGUAGCAGUGAAAUGCGUAGAGAUGUGGAGGAAUACCGAUGGCGAAGGCAGCCCCCUGGGCCAAUACUGACGCUCAUGCACGAAAGCGUGGGGAGCAAACAGGAUUAGAUACCCUGGUAGUCCACGCCCUAAACGAUGUCAACUAGUUGUUGGGGAUUCAUUCCUUAGUAACGUAGCUAACGCGUGAAGUUGACCGCUGGGAGUACGGUCGUCAAAGAUUCAAAACUCAAAGGAAUUGACGGGGUCAUAGCUGUUUCCU